rnacentral:rRNA from 1 species
UACGAAGGGGGCUAGCGUUGCUUGGAAUCACUGGGCGUAAAGCGCACGUAGGCGGAUCUUUAAGUCAGGGGUGAAAUCCUGGAGCUCAACUCCAGAACUGCCUUUGAUACUGGGGAUCUCGAGUCCGGGAGAGGUGAGUGGAACUCCGAGUGUAGAGGUGAAAUUCGUAGAUAUUCGGAAGAACACCAGUGGCGAAGGCGGCUCACUGGCCCGGUACUGACGCUGAGGUGCGAAAGCGUGGGGGAGCAAACAGG